CAAGUCUAAUGUUAAACAAACUUGCUAGCUUCUUUAUUGCUAUUGUACGUGUCUUCAAAUCUCCUGUUGGUUGUUUCCUUGUGUAAACUCAAUCUAUGAGUAGCAUGACUCGUUUUCUGUUUUAAAUGAAGGCACGGCUCCAACAAAAAGAACACUCCAAAGAAUUACUAAAUCGAGUUGUAAAGGUUAUGCGGCCAGAAUUGCACAGUUUCCCUCCCACUCUCAGUAGUCAUAAGAGUUUUAGACUGGUUUGACUUACCUGGGGUCCACCGGGAUACUUUUCUUUUCACCGUCAUAUUUACUAUGAUAUACUAUCUCCAUAAAUAACCUAAUUUAUCUCUUUUCUUGACAUUGCAGAGAUCAUUUUUUUAAAUUAACUCAAUAUAUAAAGCAAGUGCUGGACACAAGACCGAAAAAAUAUCUGCUCCAUUGGCUUAGGUCAUCCUGGAGACUGGCCAAUCCAAUGCUCCUCAUAGAGGACAACGUAAGUGCGUGCAUGACACUCAUCGCGAUACGCCUACAAUUCCUUCAUAGACAAUCAUUGUACGCAGUGGCUGACCAUAAUGGCAUUGCUCAUGUGACGUCAUGGUACGAGAACCAGGAAGUAAGAUUCCUAGCUCUCAUACCCAAAGAUAUAUGCCUCUACGCCUUUUAUUUAGAUUAUUUUGGGAUUUGGGGUGGGUGGGGGGUAUUACGACAGGGUGACCAGCACUGAAAGCACUAUAACAACUUCAAUACGAUGAUGAUGUUAAAGUGCCUAUCAUGUCCCUUUAACCCCUUAAGGAAACAUGACAUGUGUGACAUGUCAUGAUUCCCUUUUAAACCAGAAAAUUGGUCCUUAAGGGGUUAAGGAAUGUGUAUAGCAGCAUAGUGCAAAUGAAAUUCAGCAUUACUGUG